rnacentral:rRNA from 1 species
GGGCUAAGCAUAGUACCGAAACUGUGGAUGCAUAUCAAAGGAUAUGCGUGGUAGGAGAGCGUUCUAAGAGCGGAGAAGUUAGAUCGAGAGGACUAAUGGAGCGCUUAGAAGUGAGAAUGCCGGUAUGAGUAGCGAAAGAUCAGUGAGAAUCUGGUCCACCGUAUGACUAAGGUUUCCUGGGGAAGGCUCGUCCUCCCAGGGUUAGUCGGGACCUAAGCCGAGGCCGAGAGGCGUAGGCGAUGGAUAACAGGUUGNCAGGGUAAGUCGGGACCUAAGGUAAGGCCGAGAGGCGUAGCCGAUGGACAACAGGUAGAGAUUCCUGUACUGAAAUUGUUCGAUAAGAGCAAAGGAGGGACGCAGGAGGCUAAUGACGCAUGUAGCUGGAAAAACAUGUGCAAGCAGUAAGAAAAAAGAUGAGUCAAAUGCUUAUUUUUAGAUUUCAAGCUGUGACGCGGAGUGAAAUCAAAGUAGCGAAGGUCAUGAUGUCACACUGCCAAGAAAAGCUUCUAGCCAGAGCAAUUUUACCCGUACCGCAAACCGACACAGGUAGUCGAGUGGAGAACACUCAGGUGAGCGAGAGAACUCUCGUUAAGGAACUCGGCAA